rnacentral:tRNA from 1 species
GAGGGUAUAGCUCAGUGGUAGACUGUAUGCUUAGCAUGCACAAGAUCCUGGGUUCAAUCUCCAGUACCUCCA